UUGCUUCAGCAGCACAUAUACUAAAAUUAGAAUGACACAGAGAAGAUUAGCAUGGCCCCUGCACAAGAAUAACACACAAAUUCAUGAAGGUUUUCAUAUUUUU
rnacentral:snRNA from 1 species